CGCUAAUACCGCAUAAGUCCUGAGGGAGAAAGUGGGGGAUCUUCGGACCUCACGCUAUCAGAUGAGCCUAGGUCGGAUUAGCUAGUUGGUGGGGUAAAGGCCCUACCAAGGCAGACGAUCCGUAACUGGUCAGAGGAUGAUCAGUCACACUGAACUGAGACACGGUCCAGUACUCCUACGGGAGGCAGCAGGUGGGGAAUAUGGACAAUGGGCGAAAGCCUGAUCCAGCCAUGCCGCGUUGUGUGAAGAAGGUCUUCGGUUGUAAAGCACUUUAAGUUGGGAGGAAGGGCAGUAAGUUAAUACCUUUGCUGUUUUGACGUUACACAACAAUAAGCACCGGCUAACUUCGUGCCAGCAGCCGCGGUAAUACGAAGGGUGCAAGCGUUAAUCGGAAUUACUGGGCGUAAAGCGCGCGUAGGUGGUUCAGCAAGUUGGAUGUGAAAUCCCCGGGCUCAUACCUGGGAACCAAAAUCCAAAACUAGAGCUAGAGUACGGUAGAGGGUGGUGGAAUUUCCUGUGUAGCGGUGAAAUGCGUAGAUAUAGGAAGGAACACCAGUGGCGAAGGCGACCACCUGGACUGAUACUGACACUGAGGUGCGAACGUGGGGAGCAUUAACAGGAUUAGAUACCCUGGUAGUCCACGCCGUAAACGAUGUCGACUAGCCGUUGGGAUCCUUGAGAUCUUAGUGGCGCAGCUAACGCGAUAAGUCGACCGCCUGGGGAGUACGGCCGGUCAAGGUACUCAAAUGAAUUGACGGGACGGCCCGCACAAGCGGUGGAGCAUGUGGUUUAAUUCGAAGCAACGCGAAGAACCUUACUCGGCCUUGACAUGCUGAGAACUUUCCAGAGAUGGAUUGGUGCCUUCGGGAACUCAGACACAGGUGCCAUGGCUGGCUCGUCAGCUCGUGUCGUGAGAUGUUGGGUUAAGUCCCGUAACGAGCGCAACCCGUCCUUAGUUACCAGCACCUCGGAAGUGGGCACUCUAAGGAGACUGCCGGUGACAAACCGGAGGAAGAG
rnacentral:rRNA from 1 species